rnacentral:lncRNA from 1 species
AUGAGAAACUUUUAGUAUUAAUGGAAGGAUGUAAAGUUUUUAAUUCAAAUAAAACAAAUAUACGAACUUAAUUGAAAGAUAGUUAAAAUUAGAUAUUACUACUAUAUUGAGACUAAUCCAACUAAUUAAACAAUCUCUGUAUGAAUUUCACUAAUUACAUUUUUGUAUAAUAGAAAAUAGUUAAUAGCCAAUCUUGAAACAAAUAUUACCAAAUGGGGAAUAUGAUAAUAUAGAUGUCACCACUAUGAGUUGUGCUGCAGUGGAUGGGGCUGCUCCACCCUUAACCAGAGGUCGAUGGUUUGACCCUGGUAUGGAGAAAACUCUGUUGGGAGCACUGCCACCUUAAUGGGCACUGCAACGCGCGAUCCGAAUUAGUUGGGGCUCCAAUGAGGGCACCAGACAUCGGAUGAAAAAAAAAAAAAAAAUAUAGAUGUCAUCCCUCAAAAUAUGCAAACAAUAUAAAUAAUGAUAUUAUAUUAAAAAAUUAUGAUUUCAUUACAACUGAGUAAAUCAAGAAAGUAUUACAAGAAAAAUUUGUGAAUUAAUAAUCAAUAAGCAAUCAAACAACUUAUAUGAAAAAAGUUUAAUUGACAUUUUUUUUUAAAAAAAUCAACUUUAAUCGCAAAUAAAUUUGACUUAUUUUUGUAAAACAAUAAAUGAAUGAAUAUAAGAAAAUCUGUAUUUAGGAAAGAAAAUAAUUGUUACCUUAUUUGAGUUAUUAGAAAAUUAUAAAGAUAAUUAAAUAAUCAAUUGACUAUAGUCAAAUUAUAAUUUUAUAAGAAAUUUUUGAGAAAUAAAUCAGUAAUUGAGAAAAAUAUUAAUUGUUACCUUUUUAAAAUUCUUCCCCAAAUUAUAAAGGUAACUAAUACCAAAUUAAUAUAAUCAAAUUAUAAAAUAUGAGAAAUUUAUGGGAUUGAAUUUAUGAAAUUAUAAAGGUAACUAAUAUCAAUUGUUUUCAUUUUUGAGUCCUUUAUGUAAUUGUACAUUAAUUAAACAUAAUCAAGAUAUCAAUUUGGGACAGAUUUAUGGUAAGUAGAUAUUUAUAACAUUAAUAAUAUUUUUAUUUUCAUCAAAUUAGUUAGAUUAAAUUGAUGUAAAAAUCAGUUAAUAUUGAGAAUUAUUUUAACAGAAAAUAAAAGUUACAUAAUUGAUAUACAUAUAUUGAUUAAAAAAAAUUGAACAUUGACUACUACUUUAGCCAUAAAUAUAUUUUGAAUUUACAACAUUAAAUUUAAGGAACUUGAGUUAUAUAUUAUGAUUAUAAAAUUGAUUCUUAUUAAUUGAAGUUAAUUAGUUGAUUGUCUAGUCGUAUUAAAAUUAUGCCGUACAUUAUUUAUUUAAUGGAAAUACAUAUAAUUAAUUAGCUUAUUUUGUGCAAUCUACUAUGAACUUACUAAUUAAAAUGAAAUAAUUUUUAAAUGGUAAAUUUGGACUAUAAAAGAAAGGAGAUUAUUUUGUUGAAAUUUUAAAUUAAUAUGCAUUAAUCUAUUUUAGUGGGGUAUUAGUCUUCAAUAAGAUCUCCAUAUUUAAAUGGAGUAAUUGUAUGGCUUUAGCAUCUCUUAUGUUUUUUAAAAAAUAGAGACAAAAAUAUAAUGCCACAACAUUUUUGGAUUAUUUAAUUCAUUUAUCACGUUUUAAAAUAUUAUUUAUAUCAAUUCAGUGAUGCUUAUAUGAAAAAGUUAAAUUUUUAAAAAAUAAAUAUCUUAAGUUUUAUAAUUUAAGUUAUAAUUUGUGUACUAAUUUGAAAAAGUUAAUUUAUAAUUUACAUUCUAUUUUUAUUAUAUGGAAAAUUUGACCUUAUAUGGCUAUAUAUACUAAUUCAAUAACACAAAAAUAUUGUCACACUCUCCCCCCCCCCUCUCUCUGUCUGGUAUUGUUAUUGAUCAUUAACCUUGUUGGUAUUCAUCAAGUUUUUCAUUAUGAAUAUGUAGAAAUAAGAAUUGUCAAUAGUUUGCUAAAUAUUAAUUUAAAUUUUUCAUAAAUUUCAUGCUUUAAAUAUAAAGGUUUCGACAUAAUAAGAAUCACAAAUAUUGAUGAAAUAUUAUCAAUAUUUCAGAAUGAAAGUUCAGUAGAAGAAUAUACAUAUGAGAAAGUUGAACAAUGUAAUCACAAUGUAACAUAGAUUUGAAACAAGAAAAGCAUUUGUUGAAAUUGAUUUGAAUUAUUCGUAGUAAUUCUUCCUUCUCAAGAAAAUCAUUUGAGGUCUUGCAUAAUUAUAAUAUAAAAAUGAUUGAUUUUUUUAUUUUAUUAAUCGUUAUUCAAUAUUACAUUUUGGUAUAGUAAAAGAUUCGCAUAUUGAAGGAGUGUUGUCACUAAUUAAUAAUGCGAUUUCAAGAAGAAGAAACCUAUGAGAAGGUCACUAUAUAUUCAAACAAUAUAGUUCUGAAACAAGAAAAUUAUUUGUUAAAAAUGAUUUUAAUUAUUCAUAGUGUUUUUCUUUCUUGACAAAAAUAAGUUUUACCUUAGUGAUUUCUUUAUCCAAAUACAAAUUUGCGUAAUAUAGUCUCACUAAAUAAUGAAUCCAUUAAUAAAAUUUACAAAAAUAUAUCAAUUUUUUUGAUGCGAAUGAAAAAUAAAAAUUUCAAGAUCUUGCUUGAGAUUAUUAUGAUUUAUUCGUUUAAAAUUUUAAACUUUUUAGAGAUAAAUUUUAUCUCUUUUUUAUAUUUUGUAUUUUAUGAUCCUAUUUUGACUUAAAUGUGAAUGUUAUAAAUGGUAUAACUAGAACGAUAAUAUUUUUUCUUUAUACUUGGUCUCCUUUCAAUACUCCUGUAUAGGUAAAUAUUUUUAACAAAUUCAAAUUGAUUUUAUCUACUCUUUUUUCAUUUUGAAGUAAUUUAUUAUACGAAUUAUUUGUUAUGAACUAUUCAAGAAACUAUAAUUUAUUGGAGAUUUUGACUUACAUUUCUUUAGUUUAUGUUGGCUUAUCUAUUGGUCAAUGAAAUAUUUUUUUAUGCUUUACUAUUUGAUAAAUUAGUAAAUCUAAAUUAUUUUUUUAAUCUAUCUUUGUUUAAUGAUUACUUUUACUUAAAUAUUAUUCGCACAUCGUGUGGGUACUAAUACUAGUUAUAUAAUAACAUAAUACAAAUCUUUAUUUCCUUUUAAAAGAAAAAAUAACUAACAUCUCCGAAAACUAAUCUGAAAAUUAUAGAGGGUACUAAUGUUACGUCUUUAGAGAUAGAAGGUAUUAAUGUUACGUCUUUAGAGAUAGAAGGUAACCCAAGCUAUAGAUGGUACUAAUGUUACGUCUUCGGAGAUUAGUAAUCAUUAAAAUGUUAAAGAGAGUAUGAUUUGCAGACUUUGUGAGGCCUACAGUGAGUAAUUUCGCUCCUAGUAAGAGAGAAUUAUGUGUUGAUCCUAUCCCUAUGAAACAAGUGACUUUUAUUAAUGGAAUUCCUCGAGUUACAUGGACGGAGGAGGUGUUACGGUUGAUCACGGCCCAGGCCCACGUAGUUGAAUGUAUAAAGUGCACUCUUUGUAUGUAAUUGGCCCUGCUGUUUAGGGCCCAUCUAUAAAUAGGAUAAUUAUUGUACUGUUUCGGUGGAACAUUUUUUGAGAAACAAAAUAAAGAAUGGACUGAGCAGUUUUCUCUCCAUACUCUAGAACAUUCUUGGGUUUUCUUGCAUAAAUUCCUCUGUAUCUUUUGAAGCAUUUUCGACAUGGUAUCAAAGCAAGGCUGGUAGAUCUAGUGCUCCUCGACGAUUCUAUCGGUGUAUUUUUUUCAUUUUCCUUUUGUGGAAAUUCCUCAAAAUUUGUCAGUUCAUCGGAAAUCGGUUGGGUUUUGUUGUGACGGAUCCGUUUCAGCUAAGUGGUAGUAUUCACGGUGUAUUACGGUGAUAUCGCGGAGCAUUACGGUGAUAUUCACUCCUCUCUUAUUUCUCUUGGUUUUGUGCUGAAAUAGUUCAUUCUUCUGGCUUAAUUGUCGAAUAGUUCACCGAUUGAUACUUAUCUUCUGUGUUAAUGGCUGUUGAUUCUGCUAUUCCGUCAACUUCGACGAAUUCUAACCCUAAUAUUGACAACUCUCAUCCCUUGUACUUACAUCCCUCUGACACUCCGGGCACAGUCCUUGUAUCCGUGCCUUUUGCUGGUAUCGGCUAUGGAGAGUGGAGGGAAGGGAUGGUGAUUGCGUUAUCUGCUAAAAAUAAACUACAACUUAUAAAUGGGAGUUUUGACAAACCUGAUGCUAACUCCCAUCUCUUUCCACACUGGGAGCGAUGCAAUAAUAUGCUGAAAGCUUGGAUAAUGAAUUCCCUGUCUAAGGGCAUAGCUAAAAUUGUUCUCUACUAUAAGACUGCCAAAGAAGCUUGGGAAAAUCUAGAGGAAAGAUAUGGUGUAGUUAAUGCAUCUCAAUAUUAUAGCCUUCAACGUGCCAUAAAUUCCAUUUUCCAAGUAUCCCUUGACAUAGCUAGUUACUUUACCAAACUCAAGGGGCUUUGGGAUGAGUUAGGUACAUACUCUUUUGGUAAACCUUGUGUUUGUGGAGCUUUACAUGAGCUGAUUGAAGGCCAACAACUCAUUCAAUUUCUCUCUGGGUUAAAUGAUGUAUAUUCCACUGUACGAAGUAACAUCUUGAUGAUGAACCCUAUCCCAUCUGUUGGACAAGCUUAUUCUAUGCUAAUAAGGGAUGAGAAACAAAGAGAGAUCAAAUCUGACAUAACAAGUUUCUCUUCUGAUUCCACCUUAUUUAAUGUUACUUCUACCCCUCCUUAAUUUAGACAAACUCGCUCUUAUCCUGUUGGUGCUGAAGCUGGUCAUGUCUCUCAUUCUAUCCCACAGUUUUCCAACCCUACAAGAUCUUUCCCAAAUAAUCCAUGAACCUUCUCUCAAAGAAUCAACUAUGAUUCCAAUUUUAAGAAAUCCAUGGUGUCUUGCAAGUAUUGCAAGAAAUCUGGACAUACAAUAGACCAAUGCUACAAGCUUCAUGGUUUUCCCUCGGAUUUCAAAUUCUCUAAAGGCAAAAGAACUGCUGCUUGUGUUCAACUGGAUCAAUCUUCAGAUUCUUCCAGUGUUAGUCCUUCUACUGCUGCUGGUUCUUCUCAUGCGUUUUCUCCAGAACAGUAUGCUCAUUUGUUGAGCUUGUUUCAACAAAUUCAGCCAUCUUCUCAAGCUCAACCAUCUUCUUCUCAACAAGCCUUCACAGGUUUGGCACAUUCUUCUGUUUUUAAUACUGAUGGUUCAUUUGCUUGUAAUGCUUCACAACUGGUUUCUAUUUCAUGGAUACUUGAUUCCGGAGCAACUAAUCAUAUGACCCCCUAGCUCUACACAUACCACUUCAGCUUUUCAACUUAUUCACAUUGAUAUUUGGGGACCCUAUCACACUUCCACCUAUAAUGGUUUCAAAUAUUUCUUAACCAUUAUGGAUGAUUUUAGUAGAGUUACUUGGACACAUUUACUAGCAUGUAAAGGCAAUGUAUUUUCUGUUAUCAAAACCUUUCUAUCCAUGGACUCUACUCAUUUUAAUACAUCUGUUCAAACCAUACGUACUGAUAGUACUUUUGAGUUGGGAUCUUCUACCUCGCACUCAGAAUACCUUUAUUCUUUAGGCAUUAUUCACCAAACAACUUGUUCCCAUACUCUCCAACAAAAUGGAGUGGUUGAAAGGAAACAUAAGCAUUUUCUAGAAACUGCUAGGGCCCUUCUUUUUCAAUCUAAGCUUCCCACUAAAUAUUUGGGUGAAUGCAUCCUCACUUCCACCUAUUUGGUGAAUAGAUUUUCCUCUAGUAUCCUUUCUAACAAAUCUCCUUACGAAGUCCUUCAUGGUGUUCCCCCUUCAUACUCUCACAUUAGAUCCUUUGGAUGUCUAGCUCAUGCUACUGUCCCUAUUCCUCAUAGGGACAAAUUUCAUUCAAGAGUAAUACCUUACAUUUUCCUAGGAUAUGCUCUUUGUAAGAAAGGAUACAAGCUUCUUCAUUUACAUAACCAUUCCAUUUUUUACUCCAGGGAUGUUACUUUUAUUGAACACAUUUUUCCUUCCACCUCUUCACCCUCUACACUGUUUCCCCAUGAUUCUUUGCAUCCUACUAUAUUGUCUGACCAUCACUCUAUCCCUACUACUCAUAGUAAUCCUAGUUUUAACCCUCCUCCUUUUAUACCUCCACUUAGGAGAUCCUCCAGACCCACACAUCCUCCUGCACACUUGCAGGAUUUUGUGUGUAAUUUUGUCAUUCCCUCCUCCCUUCCCUCUGUUUCUAAACCUUUUCAUUAUCAUCAAGCAGUCCUGCACACUGUUUGGCGGGAUGCCAUGACUAAAGAAUUCCAAGCCCUAAAUCUUAAUCAUACAUGGGACAUUGUACCACUUCCACCUGGCAAGAAAGCAAUUCCAUGCAAAUGGGUGUACAAAAUUAAACACAGGUCUGAUGGUACCAUUGAAAGGUACAAGGCACGACUUGUUGUCAGAGGUGACACUUAGAAAGCUGGAAUUGAUUUUACUAAGACAUUCUCUCCUGUUGUUAAAUUUACCACCAUCAAAUGUCUUCUAGCAAUUGCUGCCAAAAAGUCUUGGACUAUUUAUCAGCUUGAUGUUAAUAACACAUUCUUGCAUGGUGACUUAUCUGAGGAGGUUUAUAUGAAGAUCCCAUUGGGUCUCACUGGUUCUUCACUCUUGGUUCUACUCCUCCUUUGGCAUGUAGACUCCGCAAAUCACUUUAUGGCUUGAAGCAAGCCUCCAGACAAUGGUUUGCUAAGCUGUCCUUGGCUUUGACUUCUAGAGGCUACCUACCUAGUCUGAAUGACUACUCUCUUUUUACAAAGGUAUCCUCUAUGUCCACUGUUGUGCUUGUUGUAUAUGUAGAUGACAUCUUAUUGGCUGGUGAUGAUAUUGAGGAAAUGAAUUCUUUAAAAGCUUUCUUGGAUGCUCAAUUCAAGAUUAAAGACCUUGGGGAUGUUCAUUAUUUUAUUGUCCUUGAGGUUAACAAGACUUCUCAUGGUUUUCUUAUUAAUCAACAUAAGUACACCAAAGAAUUAAUUGCAGAGUUUCACUGUUCUGAUUGCUCUUCUGUUAUUACUCCCUUGGAACUCAACUCCAAGCUUCUUCCUAAUUUUGGGAUAUUGCUCUCUGAUCCCUCCCACUUUUGGAGGUUUGUUGGCAAGUUGAAUUUCUUACAACACACCAGGCCAGACAUCUCCUUCUCUAUUCAGUAUUUGAGUUAGUUCCUAAAUGCUCUGAGAUUAUCUCACAUGCAAGCUGCUUUGCAUGUUCUGCGGUAUUUGUCUCAUGAUCCUAACAAGGGUAUUCUCCUCUCCAGUUCUGAUGAUUUCACUCUCAAGGCUUAUUCGGAUUUUGAUUGGGAAGCAUGCUCUAUUUCUCGAAGAUUUGUUUCUGGGUUCUUGAUUACUUUGGGUGGUAGCCCAGUCUGCUGGAAGUCCAAAAAAUAACCUACCAUUUCUCUAUCUUUCACUGAAGCAGAAUAUCGAGCCAUAUGCAAGACUGUUGCUGAAUUAACUUGGUUGGUUCGCAUUUUAUCUGACCUUUCCAUUGUUAUUGAUUCACAUGUUCCUCUUUUUCGUGAUAAUCAGGCUGCCUUGAGCAUUGCUUGCAAUCCCGUUCUUCACGAGCGUACUAAACACAUUGAGCUGGAUUGCCAUUUUGUCUGUGAGAAGCUUGCUGCUGGACUUAUCUCUCUGCACUACAUUCAUACUCAAUCCCAAUUAGCUGAUAUUCUCACUAAGCCAUUGACUGGUGAUUCUUAUCAUCGUCUGUUAUUCAAGCUGGGAGUUCACUCACCCUCCAGCUUGAGGGGAGUGUUACGAUUGAUCACGGCCCAGGCCCACGUAGUUAAAUGUAUGUUCAUUCUUUGUAUGUAAUUGGCCCAACUGUUUAGGGCCCAUCUAUAAAUAGGAUAAUUAUUGUACUAUUUUGGUGGAACAUUUUUUGAGAAACAAAAUAAAGAAUGAACUGAGCAGUUUUAUCUCCGUACUCUAGAACAUUCUUGGGUUUUCUUGCAUAAAUUCCUCUGUAUCUUCUGAAGCAUUUUCAAUUUUGACAGGAGGUCAAUUGGAGGAUUUACAAUUGGCUAUAGUAGGUAAGUUUUCCUACGGGUGGCCUGGUUUAGAAGAGCUUCGCAGUCUAAUUCCUAGAUAGUGUGGUGUCAAAAGAGAUUGCAAAAUUGGGUUGUUAAGAAAUAGGCAUGUGUUGAUGAGGUUUAAUUUUAUGGAGGACUUUAUCAAUAUGAUGGCGAAGAAUGUGUAUUAUAUAAUCGCUAAGGAUGGACUAGCUUAUCAAAUGAGAUGUAACGGUUCGGACUACCCCUAAACGUCACAGGGUGUUUAGAACCAUAAAUGAUCCUAAGCUAACCCAUGAUACUAACAUAAUUCGUGAACAACUGAAUAAAUUACAUAAAAACCGAGACAAGAAGUGGAAGAGAUGUUUUUAGCUAAAGUGGUUCAAUACAAUACUAUUAAAAAAACAUUUGCAUCACCGGUUGAUACAAAAGAGAACCAAAAUUGAAACUGACUACAUAAACUCUAACUGACUAUCUAUAAAGCCUGUACUAAUAGUGAUUAUAGGUAGUCGGUACAUGACCCCCAGCUAUCCCUAAUAAAUACAACUAAAUAAAACAUACAAUGUUGAAACUAUACUUGACUCGAGUACUCGAAUCAAGAGAACUCAUCACCUGCUAGAGCUAGGAAUUGUCUGAUUAUGGUGUGUGGACUACAACUGGUACCUAUAUUUCAUAGACGUGUAUGUGGUCAGUGCUUCUAGAAUGUACUGAGUAUGUAGGGGUGAAUGCAACAAGUAAAAAACAGGUAUAUAUCAUAAGCUUAAAAAAAUACAUGCGAAGUGUAGAUGGACUCACCUUGAUCAUGAAUAAAACUGAAAGAUGAAAUAACAUAAGCAUAAAUCAUAAUACAAUAUAUGAAUAAAGGUUGUGAUUUAGUUUCUUAAAUCUUUACUUCUAUUUUCUUUGUAGGAGAUUCUUAUAACGACAUAAAUCAUGUGAACUAUCAUGGAGUCCAAUGGCUUACCCACAUUGAGCAGAGCUGCUCUACCCUUGCCAUCAGAAUAAAACCUUUACUUAGAGUUAUCACUAAACGUAGCCCAUCAUGGGCAAGGAGACAUUCUCUGGUGAGAUCUUUUCAACCUACGAUGGCACAUAGUUUCUGAUGAAUCGAAUGAGCUAAACCUACAUUCCCCUCUUGAUGCUAAAUACUACUCCCAAAACAUAUACUUAUAUGCUCAUACUUAGCCAACUAGGUCUCUAACCCAUUAGCUAUUAGAACUUCAACACAUUUAGCACUGAGAAUCUAAACCAUUAGCCAAUGGAACUUUAAAGGUUCCAAUUCAAAUUAAUCCAUGACCAUAAAGGUCCCUUCUAAAGUCAAUGCAUGUUUUAUUUGCCUUUAUUCCAUGUAAAAGUAUAAUUGAGCAAGUCGAACCAUGUGACAAAACCAUAAUCCAACAUCAAUUCCACAAAUGGGUUGAGGGAACACAAUUUUCAAACCAUAUGUCAAGUCAAAAUCAUCAAAUUUGGGGAAACCACGACCCCUUAGGUUAUUACCAUACCCAUGCACUCCACAAGUUCAAAACCAUUUGUAAAACAUAUUAAAUGCAUAAUAAAUCAUGGGAAAUCAGUUUAAGAAUCAAUCAUGCUAAAGCCCUUAACUCAUAUCAAAAUCCCCAUUCAAAUCCACACAAGUAAACCAUUAAAACACAUUUUUCAUAAAAUGAGAUUUGGGGAAGAGUGACAUGCUUGAAAUAUCAAGAUUUAUGGAGAGAAAUCAACCCUUGAGCCCCAAGAUAACCAAAUUUGAGAAACCUUAGCUUGUUCUUACCUUAGGGUUUUGAGAGAAUUUGAGAGAGUAUUUUGAUUGCUUAAGUGUUUAAAAUAACAUCCUAAGGGUGUUUUAUGGUUGUGGGCCUUAAGUGAGAAAGGAGGGAAAUGUCCAAAGUGCCUCAAUUAAAAGCUGAAAAUUAUUCGCCAGUGACUAUGGGUCACCCUAAGACUCGUAUAGACUUGUUACGACUCGUCAACACAAGUCGUAGUCUGGAUAGUACCCAUGGGCACCCAUACUGGUCUAGCUACAAGUCGUACCAUACGAUUCGUACUUAAACAUUACAACUCGUUAGGUUAAAUCAUAGGCAAAACAGAAACAUUUGGGCAUCACACUGGUUUGGCUACGGAUGAGACUAUAUGAAUCAACAACAACAACAACAACAACAAACCCAGUGUAUUCCCACCUAGUGGGGUCGGGGGGGNNNNNNNNNNNNNNNNNNNNNNNNNNNNNNNNNNNNNNNNNNNNNNNNNNNNNNNNNNNNNNNNNNNNNNNNNNNNNNNNNNNNNNNNNNNNNNNNNNNNNNNNNNNNNNNNNNNNNNNNNNNNNNNNNNNNNNNNNNNNNNNNNNNNNNNNNNNNNNNNNNNNNNNNNNNNNNNNNNNNNNNNNNNNNNNNNNNNNNNNNNNNNNNNNNNNNNNNNNNNNNNNNNNNNNNNNNNNNNNNNNNNNNNNNNNNNNNNNNNNNNNNNNNNNNNNNNNNNNNNNNNNNNNNNNNNNNNNNNNNNNNNNNNNNNNNNNNNNNNNNNNNNNNNNNNNNNNNNNNNNNNNNNNNNNNNNNNNNNNNNNNNNNNNNNNNNNNNNNNNNNNNNNNNNNNNNNNNNNNNNNNNNNNNNNNNNNNNNNNNNNNNNNNNNNNNNNNNNNNNNNNNNNNNNNNNNNNNNNNNNNNNNNNNNNNNNNNNNNNNNNNNNNNNNNNNNNNNNNNNNNNNNNNNNNNNNNNNNNNNNNNNNNNNNNNNNNNNNNNNNNNNNNNNNNNNNNNNNNNNNNNNNNNNNNNNNNNNNNNNNNNNNNNNNNNNNNNNNNNNNNNNNNNNNNNNNNNNNNNNNNNNNNNNNNNNNNNNNNNNNNNNNNNNNNNNNNNNNNNNNNNNNNNNNNNNNNNNNNNNNNNNNNNNNNNNNNNNNNNNNNNNNNNNNNNNNNNNNNNNNNNNNNNNNNNNNNNNNNNNNNNNNNNNNNNNNNNNNNNNNNNNNNNNNNNNNNNNNNNNNNNNNNNNNNNNNNNNNNNNNNNNNNNNNNNNNNNNNNNNNNNNNNNNNNNNNNNNNNNNNNNNNNNNNNNNNNNNNNNNNNNNNNNNNNNNNNNNNNNNNNNNNNNNNNNNNNNNNNNNNNNNNNNNNNNNNNNNNNNNNNNNNNNNNNNNNNNNNNNNNNNNNNNNNNNNNNNNNNNNNNNNNNNNNNNNNNNNNNNNNNNNNNNNNNNNNNNNNNNNNNNNNNNNNNNNNNNNNNNNNNNNNNNNNNNNNNNNNNNNNNNNNNNNNNNNNNNNNNNNNNNNNNNNNNNNNNNNNNNNNNNNNNNNNNNNNNNNNNNNNNNNNNNNNNNNNNNNNNNNNNNNNNNNNNNNNNNNNNNNNNNNNNNNNNNNNNNNNNNNNNNNNNNNNNNNNNNNNNNNNNNNNNNNNNNNNNNNNNNNNNNNNNNNNNNNNNNNNNNNNNNNNNNNNNNNNNNNNNNNNNNNNNNNNUUUCCGAAAUAGACACUAUCCGUCUCAGCCUCACCUCGACUACUCUCUCCCAGAUCUUUAUAGAGUGACUCAAUAACUUAAUCCCCCUAUAGUUAUUGCAACUCUGAAUGUCCCCCUUAUUCUUAUAGAGAGGGACCAUGGUACUCCACCUCCACGCCUCGGGCAUCUUUGCCGUCCUGAAGAUUUCAUUAAACAAUCCAGUCAACCACCUUACACCAGCCUCUCCAACGAACUUCCAAAACUCCAUCGGGAUCUCAUCUGGCCCCGUCGCCCUAUAAGACUAUAUGAAUCAUAUAAAGUUUUUAUGACUCAUAACCCCUAGUCGUAUUCACAACAGAAACUCCAGGCUAACACACUGGUCAUGACACAAUUGGGGUCUUAAGACCCGUAAUGACACAUUACGACUUAUAGGGAGAGUCGUAGUCUUGGUAGUGAGCUCGAAGGUCAAGAAAUUUUCAAGAACCAAAAAUCCGAGGUGUUACAUUCUCCCCCUCCCUAGGAUCAUUCAUCCUCGAAUGAUGUGUCAAGGAAUUCAUUAGCACGAUCAUAAGAUAAAACACAACCACAAUUUUCCUUUAAAAAAGGCAGAAAGAAAGAUAUUAAGGAAAAUAUUUACCUCAAGCACGGUUAUACGAGCCGGGGAACAAGAAUGGAUACUUGGACUUCAUGUCCUCUUCGGUUUCCCAAGUAGCCUCUUUGAACUUUUGGUUCCUCCACAAAACCUUCAUCGAAGUCACAUCCUUAGUCUUCAAUCAAUAGACUUGCCUAUCUAAAAUUUCAACCAAAACUUCCUCAUAAGAUAAGGAAUCCAAAAUACCAACACUCUUAAUAGGAAUAACCAAAGAUGGAUCACCCAUGCACUUCUUCAACAUGGAAACAUGAAACACUGGAUGAAUGGAACCCAAACUUCAAGGUAAUUCCAACUCAUAAGUCACAUUACCCACUCUCCUCAAAACCAAAUAUGGACCAACAUAACAGGGACAUCUUUCCCUUCUUCCUAAACCACAUCGCUCCUUUCAUGGGAGAUACCUUCAAAAACAUCCAAUCACCAACCUCAAACUCUAACUCCCUCUGCCUUAUAUCUGCAUAGGACUUUUGGAGACUUUGGGAGGUCUUAAGCCUACACUUAACCACCUUAACCUUCUCCAUGGCUUGUUAAACCAAACCACAGCCAAACAAUCUAGUCUCACCAACUUCAAACCAUCGAAUAGGAAACCUACAUCUCCUACCAUAAAAAGCCUUGAAUGGAGCCAUGCCAAUGCUAGAAUGAUAACUAUUGCUAUACGCAAAUUAGAUAAGAGGCAAAUGAUCAACCCAACUACCACCAAAGUUGAUCACACAAGACCUUAACAUAUCUUCCAAUGUCUGAAUUAUCCUCUUUGCUUGACCAUCCAUUUGAGGAUGAAAAGCGGUGCAAAGGUUCACCUUACUCCCAAAAUCUCUCUGAAAAGAAUGCCAAAAAUAAGAUGAGAACUGAGUACCUUGAUCAGACAUAAUACAAACUGGCGCACCAUGAAAGUUGACAACCUCCUGAAUGAAUAUCUUCGUAUAAUCCUCAGCCGAGUAAUUAGUCCUCACAGGUAAGAAGUUAGCAAACUUAGUCAUCCAAUCCACAAUGACCCAUAUCGAAUCAAACUGCUGAUGAGACCACGAAAGACCAGUAACAAAGUCCAAAUUAAUCACUUCCCAUUUUCAUACAGGCAACUCAAUUUCUUGAGACAACCCACCAGGCCUCAAGUAAUCCAUUUUCACUUGCUAACACACCAUGCACUUAGCCAUGAAAUUGGCCACAUCUCUCUUCAUAUUACUCCACCAAUAGAUCUCUUUUAAAUCAUGGUACAUCUUUGUUGAACUAGGAUGAACCGUAUACCGCAACUCAUGGACCUCCACCAAAAUUCUUUCUCAUAGCCCAUCAACAUCAGGAAUACACAAUCUACCCUGGUACCUUAAGAUACCAUCACCACCAAUCUCAAAUUCCAUAACCCUCUGUAGAUCCACACCAUUCUUAAUAUGCAUCAAGAUAGGAUCCAAAACCUUUCUUUUUCACCUCAACACUAAAAGAUGACUUCACGAUCCAAAACCUUUCUUUUUCACCUCAACACUAAAAGAUGGCUUCACCACCUCUUGCACAAUCACACCACUAUCUUCAAAAUUAAAUAGAUGAACUCCAAAAUUAGCCAAUUGGUGAAUAUCCUUCACCAAAUCUCAUUUAUCCUCAUCCAUAUGAGAUAGGCUUCCCAUAAAUAACCAGCUAAGAGUAUCAAGAACAACGUUAGCUUUACCUGGAUGAUAAUAAAGACUCAUAUCGUAGUCCUUGAGUAACUCAAGCCAUCUUUUUUGCUUGAGAUUCAGCUCCUUCUGGGUGAACACAUACUACAAACUCUUAUGGUCUGAGAAUAUGUCAACAUGAACCUAUACAAAUAAUGACGCCAAAUAUUUAGAGCAAAAACUAAAGCUAAUAAUUCCAAGUCAUGUAUUAGAUAAUUCUUUUUGUGCACCUUCAGCUGCCUAGAAGCAUACGAUACAACCUUACUAUGCUACAUCAACACACAUCCCAGUCCCAUAUGGGAUGAAUCACAAUACACCAUAAAACCAUCAGCACCAUUAGGCAAGGUCAAAAGAAGCGUGGAAGUCAACUUAUCCUUUAACUUCUCAAAGUUACCCUCACAAGUAUUGGACCAUAAAAACUUCACCUUCUUCUACGUCAAUCUAGUCAAUAGAGCAGCAAUGGACAAAAAACUCUUCAUAAACCUCUUAUAAUACCCGACUAAACCCAAGAAGCUUCAAAUUUCGAUUGGAGUCAUUGGUCUAGGCCACUUCUUCACCACCUCUACCUUCUAUGGAUCCACCAUGAUCCCUUUACUAGUAACAACAUAACCUAGAAAAGUAACAGUAUUCAACCAGAACUCGCACUUAGAAAAUUUAGCAUACAGUCGAUCCUUAAGGGUCUACAACAUUAUACGGAGGUGAUUUGCAUAAUCCUCCUAACUUUUAGAAUACACCAAAAUAUCAUUAAUGAACACAAUGACAAACAAGUCCAAAAACUAUUUGAAUACCCAAUUCAUAAGGUUCAUAAAUGUCGCUAGGGCAAUAGUAAAACCAAAGGACAUCGCUAAAAACUCAAAAUGACCAUAUCGAGUUUAAAAAGCAGUCUUAGGGAUAUCCACCUCCCUAAUCUUCAACUAAUGAUAAACCGAUGAAAGAUCAAUCUUGGAAGAGAAUCUAGCACCCUAGAGCUGGUCAAAUAGGUUAUUAAUCCUAGGAAGAAGAUACUUGUUCUUUACCUUCACCUUAUUUAAUUAUUGGUAAUCUAUAUACAUCCGAAGGGAAUCAUCCUUCUUUCGUACGAAUAGCACAGGAGAACCCCAUGGAGACAUACUAGGGUGAAUAAAACCCUUAUCAAGAAGAUCUUUUAACUUCUCCUUGAGUUCUCAAUGCAGUUGGAGCCAUUCUAUAAAGAGGGAUAGAGAUAGGAUGGGUAUCCGUGAGAAAAUCAAUCCCAAAAUCUAUUUCCCUAUUGGGAAGAACACUUGGAAGAUCAUUAGAGAACACUUCAAGAAACUCACAGACUAUGAGGACAGAUGGUAAAAGGAGACCCUCAAAAUUAGAGUCCUUGAACCAAACUAAAUGAUAAAGAUACCCCUUGGAAAUCAACUUUCGAGCUCAAAGAUACGAAAUGGACCUUCCCAUAGGCACUAGGGAACUCCCCACUCAUUCUAUAAUUGGCUUAUUAGGAAAAUUGAAAAUAACUUUGUGGGUCCAACAAUCUAGAGAGGAAUGGCACGAAUGGCAUUAAUCCAUCCCCAAGAUAAUGUCAAAAUUGGCCAUAUCCAACUCUUUUAGUCUACCAAGGUUUCCCUACCACAAACAGAUACCAUACAAUCCCUAUAGACUCUUUUAGUCACAACAGAAUCACCCAUCGGGGUAGACAUAGAAAAGGGGUCCGAAAUUCACUCAAGAUCAAAACCAAAAUAAACAACCACAUAUAGGGUCAUAUAAGAAAAAGUAGACAUCAGAUAAAGUAGAUAGUAUAAAUCACAAGAGAAAAGUUGUAACGUACCAGUGACGACAUUAGGAGAUGCCUCAAAAUCCUGACAUUGGGAAGAGCAUACAAAUGAUUCCAGCCAGUGCUAGAGUCAGAAAUGGCACCCUUUAGUGCAGGAGUGGAUGAAGUCGUAGACGGGACGUUAUUAGUCCUAGUGGCAACUCUAGCUGAAUGACACUCCCACUACAUAUGACCAAGCUGACCACACCUAUAACACCAAUUCCUUCCCUCUUUUCAUUAACCAUGAUGAGCCUGCCUACAGAAACGACAAGGAGGAUAUGAUGGGGCUAACUGGGAUCCACUAGCCUAAGAUUAAACACCUAGUCCCUUAAACCCACCAUCAGUUUGAAAGUAAUGAUCACCAGAUGGCUUAGGAUAUGAAUCACUAGCUGUCAAAUAGGAACCAAAAUUUCCCCACUUCUUAUUACACCACUGUCAGCCAUCCCUACCAUUAUUUGGCUAACCUUUACCCUGGUCUGAAUACAAAAAAUUCUUACUUUGCUUCUUUCUUAUAUCAGCAUAUUUCUUCUCCUCCUAAACUUGCUGAGUAUACAUCACAAGUCGAGAAAUAUCCAUAUCCUUGUUCAACAAGGUGGUCCUGCACUCCAGCACUAAGUCUCGAGACAAACCUGAAGCAAAUUUCCUCAUCCUAUCCCUCAUGCUAGUCACCAACUCUGGAGCAUAACGAAACAAUUAGUGAAGCUUCAGGGCAUAUUACUUCAUAAUCAUCCUGCCUUGUCUUAAAUUCACUUUCUUAACUCUUGAGGAAAUAAGUGAACAAGAAAGGCACUUGAGAAGUCAUCCCACAUAGCUGGCUCAACAUCAUCCCUUCUCAAUUACUCCUAGUCCUCAUCUAUUAGUAUGCCCAUAUCCUUCAAUUGAUAUGCGACAAACUCCACAACCUCAGAAUCAGAAGCAUACGUCACUCAAAAAAUCUUUUCCAUUUCAUCAAUAAAUCCUAGAGGAUCCUUCUCAACCUUUGAGCCAAUAAAGGUUGGAGGACUCAACCUUAUAAACUGACCAACUUUAGUGACCUCAGAAGAUGUAGCAUCAUAGGAAACACGCUCAGGCUGGCGGGACUAAGAAGCCACCAACUGAGUCAAUAGAUUGAUAAAAUUUCAUAUUAGUAAUAUCUCUUUGGGGCGGUGGGGCAUGAACAUCGUAAUCUUAGGGGGCCUAAGAAAGACUGGUAGCAACUGACGGAACCCCAUGAGAAUAAUUAGGGGCAAGGACCCUAGACCGGGUCUAAACUCCAUAAGUAGAAUGAGUUCCAUUUAUGUUGUCCUCAAGUGGGACAAAGGAGUUUCCACAAGCAUCAGAUAUUCUGGGAGGCAUGAUCUGAAAUGCAAACAAAUGGGAAUUAGAGGGGAUUACAAGACCUUAGACUCUGUAGCCUGAAACUUAGAAAAUAAUAAAGAAAAACAUUUUUAAAUGACUCGUAGCCUCUCUCUUAUAAAGGUGGAGCACUACACAUCCAUAAAAUAGACUCUACUAUACAUGGCUUUGUGGACUCUGAUUUGACCAUGAACCUGGCUCUGAUACCAACUUUGUCAUAACCCAAACCGGGGCCUGGCCAUGAUGGGCAUCUCUAGUCCCCCGAGGAUCGGAGAUCACCCCCUUGCCUAGUCAAACAUCACAUAAUAUACCUAGCAGUGGAUGAGUUCAAAACAUAUAACAAGAUAAAAUACUUAAUAAUAAGAUUGUACUAAGAAUUCACAUACCAAAUCCCAAUCCACAGUAAUCCACAAAGCCUCUAAACAGACCAAAAUAAAUCUAACUCAGGACAUGCCCCCGAUGAUAGGCAAAAAGAAACCAAAUGGUAGUCUAUGAUAUAAAUGAAACAUGACUUAUAAAAUGAUAACCCUUCCGAAGAUUAGAAGCUCAUCACUUCAAAGCUGACAGCGGACAACCACAAAAUCUAUCACUACGUAAAAAAAGAAGAAGUGUCUUUGAAACCUGUAUCACGUGGGGAUACAACACUUAGAGAUGGUUAGUGAGGUGAGCACUAGUAUGUAACUUAGGAAAGUAGUAAAGUUAUGCCAUAAUCAAACAAUUUAAAAUCAUCAAAAGCAAUGCACAUACUCACAUAUAGUAUAUAUACAUCACGCCAAACCAAAUUAUCUAGCCAACUGGGACUUUAACCCAUCGACCAAUAGGACUUUAAAUCGUUUAGCCAACUGGCACUCUAACCCACAAGCCAAUAGGAUGUGAAUACAUUUAGCUAACUGGGACUCUAAUCUAUUAGCCAGUAUAACUUUAACAUGUUUUUCUAACAGGGAAUCUAACCCAUUAGCCAAUAGAACUUCAACACAUUUAGCAAUUGGGACACUAACCCAUUAGCUAAUAAAACUCCAAUGCAUUUAGCCAACUAAAACUCUAACCUAUUAGCCAAUAAAACUUUAACGCAUUUAGAUAACUAGGACUCUAACCCAUUAGAUAAUAGAACUUUAACACAUUUAGCACUGGGACCCUUAGCCAUUAGCCAAUGGAACUUUAAAGGUUCUAAUUCAAAUUAAUCAAUGACCAUCAAGGCCCUUCUAAAGCCAAUACAUGUUUCAUUAGCCUUUAUGCCAUGCAAAAGUAUAAUUGAGCAAGUCAAAUCAUGUGACAAAACCAUAAUCCAAUAUAAAUCCCAUAAAUGGGUUAAGAGGACAUAAUUUUCAAACCAUAUGUCAAGUCAAAAUCAUCAAAUUGGGGAAACCACGACCCCUUAGGUUAUUUACCAUACUCAUGCACCCCACAAGUUCAAAACCAUUAGUAAAACAUAUUUAAUGCAUAAUAAAUCAUGGAAAAUCAGUUUAAGAAUCAACCAUGCUAAAGCCUUUAACUCAUAUCAAAAUGCCCAUUCAAAUCUACACAAUUAAACCAUUAAAACAUAUGUUUUUAAUAAAAUAAGAUUUGGGAAAAAGUGGCAUGCUUAAAAAUCAGGAUUUAUGGAGAGAAAUCUACCCUUAAGCCCCAAGAUGACCAAGUUUAAGAAACCCUAGCUUGUUUUUCCCUUAGGGUUUUGAUAGAAUUUGAGAGAGUAUUUUGAUUGCUAAAGUGAUAAAAAUAACAUCCCGGGGGUGUUUAUAGUUGUGGGCCUUAAGUGAGAAAAGAGGGAAAUGUCCAAAGUGCCCUCAGUUAAAAGCUGAAAAUUAUUCGCCAGUGACUACGGGUCACCCUACGACUUGUAUAGACUUAUUAUGACUCGUCACCAUAAGUCUAUUACCUAUGGUCACCCAUACUUUUUUGGCUAUGAGUCAUACCAUACGACUCAUACUCGGACAUUACAACUCGUUAGGUCAAAUAUAGGCAAAAUAGAAAUAUUUAGGUAUCACACUGGUUUGGCUACGGAUGAGACUAUACAACUCGUAUAGAGUCUUUACGACUCGUAACCUCUUAGUCCUAGUCACAUAGAAACUCCAAGUUGAAACACUGGUUAGGAUAUAAUUGGGGGCUCAAUACCCGUAAUGACAUAUUACAACUCGUAGGGAGAGUCAUAGUCUGGGUAGUGUGCUCAAAGGUCAAGAAAUUUUCAAGGAACAAAAAGCUGGGGUGUUGCAGUCACUCAAGUGAAGGCCCUAAGUUUGAGACCAGUGGCUACGACUAGACCUUACAGCUCGUAAUUAGUGACUAUAGUCGUAGGUAGGGACUCAUAGCCUGACCAGUAAAGGACCCAAGACUCAAGAUUCAAACUACGACUCCAUCUUACUACUCGUAGUUAGACAUUACGAGUCGUAAGAAGGAAGUCAUAGUCAGACUAGAAAAGGGCCCUAAACCCUAGAUUCUAGCCUACAACUUAGACUAUGACUCGUAGUCAGUCCCAAUGAGUCAUAGGGUGAGUCGUAGUAACUGGGAACCCAGAUUUCCUGCACGAUUUCCAAGGGCUCUUAAGUAUUUUUCCCACUUCUUUAAAAGCCCAACCCACAUCGUUUUGGCUUCCCAAGGGGUGGUAUAAAAGACCCAAACUCUUCCAAAUCAUGAAUUAAUUGUAUUUCCACCCUAAGAAGUUACAAGGGGCGAUUUUCUCCUCUCCAAGAAGAAAUUAGGGUUCUUCCUAAGUUCAAUUCCAAGCAAUCUCCCUAAGGUUUUUCCCUCAGGUAUGUGGGAUAUUAUCAAUGGGUCGCUUCCACCCAUUGAGUUCUAAGAAUUACCUAUUUUUACAAGUAUAAACCCUUUUCCCUUCUUUGUGCAAUUUCAUGUCAGUUAUGGAUUUUAUAAAUUUUCUAUCAAGUGUUUUGAAUUUGAACCAUGAAAAUAUGUUUUUCCAUGAGAAUUGUGUUUAUAUAUGUUUUAUAAUCUCAGUCACCUACCUUAUGAUCAGUGUUGUCAUAUUGCGUACUAUUUAUGAUAUUCCAUACUAUGAUUUCCUUAUCUUAUUCAGUAACAUUAGUCUAUGCUGGCGGAUUAUGAACACCUAAUACCUAGGAAAAUCAUGCAUGUUACAGUUUUCAGGUUUUAAGUCAUUCAAAUUAUGCUUGUAUCAUUAAAUUCAGAAUAUCAUCCUAAUGAGCAUUUAUCAGUACCAUAUUAUGUUAAAAAAAAAAUAAUAUCAUUGUCAUUCAGUUUGGAGUAAUACUUAGCACCGAGUGAACACAGGGAUGGAAGCUCCCUCAUUAGUUAGGCAUGAGUAGUUAGUAGAAGUCACUAAGUUCCAGACCUACGAUGUCACCAUAGAACUUAAGGGGUCCCCCAUCAGUAGAGGCAUGAGGCCCUUGUUCUUUAGGACAUCAGAUUAGUAGAUCUAUGCCAGCCAGUAUUUGUACCCUUGGAAAAGUACUAAUACUCAUCCAAUUGGGGAUAUUAGUUGGACCCUAAUUUUGCGUAGAUUGGGGUAUGUCAGUUGUAGUUAGCUCCCACAAUCUCGGUUCAGUAUUUAGAUUAUACCAGUUUAGGUUUGCAUGACCAAGUGUCCAGUCUAUCAGUUAUUCAGUUAAUCAGUUUUACAGAUUUCUUCAGUACAUGCUUUACUUAGUCUUUCAUUCAAUUUACAUGUUUAUGCAUUCAUGUACAAUACCAUUAUAUAUAUAUAUGUAGUUAGUUGGGCUCCAACAGGCCGAGACCCCGCCUGCACCCGCCACGCCGUCGUCCUCAGCCGCAGCCCCAAGCGAAAUCCGGUGACUUCUAACCUUUGUUAUUUCAUUAUUUCAUUAUUUCGUUAUUUCAUAUUGCAUUUUAGUUCGUUAUCUCAUAUUUCAUAUCGCAUUUUAGUUCGUUAUCUCAUAUUUCAUAUCGCAUUUUAGUUCGUUAUCUCAUAUUUCAUAUUGUGAACAUUGUCUGUUGACUGUUGUUGCUGUUGCGGCGGUCGCUGCUUAGUUUUGCUUCGGGAGUAGUCCCGUCAACGUGUGUGUGCCUUGUAUCUCCUGGCUGCUGCUUGGAUAUUGCCACCGGCUAUAUCCUUUUACUUCCCUAUUUUUUGCGUGUAGUUGUGGCUGUGGGCGGUAAUGGGUGGUUAGGGUCAUGUCCGAGGGGGUUGGGGCGUGGGGCUGUGGUGGGGGCGGGGGAUGGGGAGAGAGCGGGAGUGGGUGGGAGGCCAAGGUUUGGCCGAGGGGGGGGAAGUGGGGGGCGCGUGGAUAGCGACGGUAGGCUGAGGGUUGGGUCUUGGAAUAUAGGGACCCUUCAGGGGAAGUCCAUAGAGCUGGUGAAGAUUCUUAGGAAGAGAAGGAUCAACCUUGCGUGUGUCCAAGAGACCAAGUGGGUAGGGUCUAAGGCUAGGGAUGUGGACGGUUACAAGCUGUGGUACUCUGGGAGCGACAGGCGUAGGAAUGGAGUUGGCAUCUUGGUAGAUGAAGAGCUUAGAGGUCAGGUAGUGGAGGUGAAGAGGAUCAACGAUAGGUUGAUGACUAUCAAGUUGGUCAUUCGGGGGUUUACCCUGAACGUGUGUAGUGCCUAUGCGCCGCAUGUGGGAUCGGAGGGGGAGGAGAAGAUGCGGUUCUGGGAGGCCUUGGAGGACGUGGUGAGAGGCGUGCCCAGUUCGGAGAAGAUUGUGGUAGCAGGGGAUUUCAACGGGCACAUCGGGGCGCUACCGGGAGGCUUUGGGGAUGUGCAUGGAGGUUUUGGUUUUGGGGAGAGAAAUGAAGAGGGGGCGACCCUAUUGGAGUUUGCGAGGGCGUUUGGGCUGGUGGUGGUGAACUCGGGCUUCCCGAAGAAGGACGACCACCUGAUCACUUUUCGGAGCGCGGUAGCCAGGACCCAGAUUGACUUCUUGUUGCUUAGGAAAGGGGAUAGGGCGCUGUGUAAAGAUUGUAAAGUCAUCCCGAGUGAGAACCUUUCGACCCAACAUAGGCUCUUGGUUAUGGAUUUGGGUAUGAAGAAGAAUAAAAAGAGGAGGAGUAAGGAGUGUAGACCGAGAAUUAAGUGGGGCGGUUUGACGCCAGUGAAUGCGUGGGAGAUAGGGGAGAGGUUGGCGGGAAUGGGGGUGUGGGAGUGUAGGGGGGACGUGGAUAAUAUGUGGGACAGGGCGGCAGCGUGCAUCAGGGAAAAUGCAAGGGAGGUGUUGGGUGUUUCUAGGGGCCGGGCCGGACAUCAUCGGGGGGAUUGGUGGUGGAAUGAAGAGGUGGGGAAGAAAGUGGAGACCAAGAAAGAGUCGUAUGCUAAGUUGGUGGAAAGUAAGGACGAAGAGGAGAAGCGGGUAAACAGGAAAGAGUACAAGCUAGCAAGGAAGGAGGCGAAGUCAGCGGUCACGGCAGCUAAGACGGCUGCUUUUGAGAGCUUGUAUGCAGGGUUACAGGGGAAAGGAGGGGAGAAAAAGUUGUUCCGACUCGCUAAGGCUAGGGAGAGGAAGGGUCGUGACCUCGAUCAGGUGCGGUGCAUUAAGGGGGAGGACGGUAGAGUGUUGGUGGAGGACGGCCACAUAAAGAAGAGAUGGCAGUCGUACUUUCAUAGGCUCUUGAAUGACGAGGGGGACAGAGCUAUUGUGUUAGGGGAACUGGAGCACUCAGGGGAGUGUCGGGAUUUUAGCUAUUGUAGACGUUUUAAGGUAGACGAGGUUAGACAGGCAGUCCGCAGGAUGCGAAGGGGUAGGGCGACGGGGCCGGAUGAGAUACCGGUGGAGUUUUGGAAGUUCGUUGGAGAGGCUGGUGUAAGGUGGUUGACUGCAUUGUUCAAUGAAAUUUUCAGGACAGCAAAGAUGCCCGAGGCGUGGAGGUGGAGUACCAUGAUCCCCCUCUAUAAGAAUAAGGGGGACAUUCAGUGUUGCAAUAACUAUAGGGGGAUUAAGUUACUGAGUCACUCUAUGAAGAUCUGGGAGAGAGUGGUCGAGGUGAGGCUGAGACGGAUAGUGUCUAUCUCGGAAAACCAGUUCGGAUUUAUGCCCGGCCGCUCGACGACGGAGGCAAUUCACCUGGUACGGCGGUUGGUGGAGCAAUAUAGGGAAAGGAAGAAGGAUUUGCACAUGGUGUUCAUCGACCUAGAAAAGGCGUACGACAAAGUCCCCAGGGAGGUGCUUUGGAGAUGCUUGGAGGUGAGUGGAGUACCGCAGGCAUAUAGCAGAGUAAUUAAGGAUAUGUAUGAGGGAGCGAAAACCCAGGUGAGGACGGCGGGAGGAGACUCAGAGCAUUUCACUGUCCUGACAGGAUUGCAUCAGGGAUCUACUCUUAGUCCCUUUUUGUUUGCGCUAGUAAUGGAUGUGUUAACGCGGCGUAUCCAAGGGGAGGUGCCGUGGUGUAUGCUUUUUGCAGACGAUGUAGUCCUGAUAGAUGAGACGCGAGGGGGUGUGAACGACAAAUUAGAGCUGUGGAGGCAAACUCUGGAGUCUAAAGGGUUCAGGGUGAGCAGAACCAAGACAGAGUAUGUGGAAUGUAAGUUUAAUGACGUAAGGCGAGAGAAUGAGGUAGUGGUGAGGCUAGAAGCGCAGGAGGUAAAGAAAAGGGAUAAGUUCAAGUACCUCGGGUCCGUGAUCCAGAGUAACGGUGAGAUUGACGAGGAUGUCUCGCACCGUAUCGGGGCGGGAUGGAUGAAGUGGAAACUUGCAUCGGGGGUGCUGUGUGAUAAGAAGGUGCCGCCCAAGCUUAAAGGUAAAUUCUAUAGGGUGGUAGUCCGUCCGGCCUUGCUGUAUGGAGCGGAGUGUUGGCCAGUUAAGAACUCCCACACCCAAAGAAUGAAGGUGGCAGAAAUGCGGAUGUUGCGCUGGAUGUGUGGACUGACCCGAAGGGAUAGAGCUCGGAAUGAGACUAUCCGGGAGAAGGUUGGGGUGACUUCAGUGGAGUGUAAGAUGCGGGAAGCACGAUUGAGAUGGUUCGGACACGUGAAGAGGAGGGGCAUGGAUGCCCCGGUCCGUAGGUGUGAGAGGCUAGCGUUGGAUGGUUUUAGACGGGGUAGGGGUAGACCGAAGAAGUACUGGGGUGAGGUGAUUAGGCGGGACAUGGAACAGUUACAGCUUACCGAGGACAUGACCCUAGAUAGGAAGGUCUGGAAGACGCGAAUUACGGCAGAGGAUUAGGGCCUGUUCGGGUCGCUAAUGUAGGGAGGUAAUUGGUGGGGGUGUAUUCCUGGUAUGAUUCCGUAUUCAAUGUUCUGUUCCGUGUUCCGUGUUCUAUGUUUGUUACGAAUCUGUGUGCUUUCCUCUGCUUUAUAUUCCUGCUUUCCUGCUUUACUCUGUUUUAUAUUCCUUAUGGCUGCAGUAUCUAUGUUAUGUCAUCUGCUUCUGUGCUGUACUAUGUGUUUGUUUGAUAUCUCGUAACUUGAGCCGGGGGUCUUUCGGAAACAGCCUUUCUACUUCAUCAGAGGUAGAGGUAUGGACUGCGUACAUCUUACCCCCCCCAGACCCCACAAAGUGGGAAUACACUGGGUUUGUUGUUGUUGUUGUAGUUAGUUCGUAUCUCGCACACCAGGACAUUCAUAAUAUAGGUUCGGACGUCCAGUUCCCUGGUCAUACUUAGACAAUUUAUGAGCCAUUCAGCAACAUUGUGGUGAGUCCUCAUUCUUUGAGGACAAGUUAUCCGUAGUUAAUUUUAGUACUUUUAUUACAGUCAGCUGGAGUUAGUUGGGGGUUUGUCGCAUCAACUCCUUAUGUUAGAGGCUUUCAGAUAGUCAAACAGUUAGUUAUAUUUUCAAUGAUGCAUUUCAGACUCCUUUAUUUUUUUAUUUAACUAUUUAAACAUUUAUUAAAUAACUUCCACAUAGUAUUUUAUUAUUUUCCUUCAGUAUUUAUAGCUUGUGCCAGAUCAUGGGAUAGCUUGGGGGCACUUAUGGCCUUAAGCACUGUGUUACAACUAGGGGUAUUCUUGAGUAGUGACAACAUUAUAGUUGGACUGCUGGGAAUAUAAGCAACCAAGAGUCAUUGCAAUUGUAUAUGCCAAAGGUGAUGACAGGAAAGACUCAACUUAUGGGAAGACAUGUACUCAAUUGCCAAUAUAAAUUUACUUUGGAUGGCUGGUGGUGACUUUAAUGUGAUAAAGAUUAGAUUGAAAGAUUUCCAGUUACUCUGAAGGAAGUAGAAGACUUUGUUUUUUGUAUUAACUUAUGUGAUCUAUUGGGCACUAAAUUUAAAGGGAGUCCAUUCACAUGAUGGAAUGGAAGGGCAUAAGUAAAUGUAUUUUUGGAAGACUAGGCAAAAUUGUGAUGAAUCAAUCUUUUCUUGGCAUAGCAGGGCAAGUGAAAAUAGAAUAUUUGGCAAGAAUAGGGUCAGACCAUGUUCCUUUGUUACUUUCGUGUGGUGGACAGUCUAUGCACUUUAGGAAACCUUUUAAAUUCUUGAACUUUGGGGUGGACCAAUCAGAUUUUAAAGGUGGUGAGAAAUAGUUAGACAUCUCAAAAAGAAGUUGAUAUUUUCAUUUGUCUAAAGCAAAAAAUGAAGAAUACCAAAACAACUCUUACUUUGAGUAGAGAGAUAUUUGGUGAUAUUUUUAAACAAUUGAUCAUAAGAGAAGAAGUUAUUAGACUCAAAUAAGAAUUGUUAGAAAAAAAAUCCAACCUCCAGUAAUAGAAGUAUACUUCAAAAGGCAUAGGCUAAAUUGAAAAAAUAAGUGCACUUUAAAGAGGCAUUUUGGAGGCAAAAAGUUGGUAGUCAAUGGUUCUCUAAAGGUGAUAGGAACACUAGUCUUUCCAUUGUCUAGUGAAUAGGAGAAUAAAGAGAUUGACUAUCAAUAGAAUUAUUAAAGAAAAUAGUCAAUGGACGGAACGUAAUGAACAAAUGGCUACUGAAGAUAUUUCUUACUUUCACAAAUAAUUUUCAUGUGAGCAAGGUAAAAAAGAUUAUUCUUUACUCACCCAUAUUCCUAAUUUGGUUACUGAAUAGAUAAAUAAGGUUAUCAAUGAUUUACCAACAGAAGAAGAGGUGAAAAAGGCCAUUUUCAAAUUGAAUGGGCAAAGUGCUAGUAGAUCAAAUGGUUUCUCUGGAUUUUUUAUCAAAGUUUUUGGGAUAUUGUAAGAGCUGAUAUUAUUAAAAUGAUGAUUACUUUUUUAAAGGAAGUUUCCUUUCAAAGUUUAUUACUCACACUAAUUUGGUCUUAUUACCUAAGAAAGACUUUGUUCAAUCCUUUACAUACAUGAGACCAAUUAGUUUAAGUAAUUUUUUUAAUAAAGUGAUUUUUAAGAUUCUUCAUGAUAGAAUUGAAAAUUAUCUUCCUAUGCUUAUUUCUAAACUAAUCUGGUUUUGUAAAAGAUGUUCUUGCUCAAGAGAUAAUUACUGACAUUGGAAAAAGAGAUAAAUCGACUAAUGUGGUAAUUAAAUUAGACUUGGCAAAAGCAUAUGAUAAGAGUGGAUUGGAAUUUCUUGAUAAAAGUUCUAGAAAAGAUUGGUUUUAAUAAACAAGUGGUUGAUUAAAUUUGGAGGUUGAUGGAAAAUAAUUGGUAUUCCAUUCUGAUCAAUGGUCAGCCUUAUGAUUUAUUUCACUCUAUCAGGGGGUGAAACAACGAGAUCCUCUAUCCCUGCCUCUUUAUUUUAUCUUCAAAAAUAUUAGUUAGAGCCCUGAAUUCUCUAUUUUACAAUAAGGAGUUUAUAGGCUUUGGAAUGCCAAAAUGGAGUGAUGAUAUUAGCCAUUUGGCCUAUGUUGAUGAUACCAUUUUGUUUGUCUCUGCAGACAAAAUAUCUCUACAAAUGGUGAUGAACACUCUUAAAAAAUAUAAAGAACAGUUUGGAUAGAAGAUUAAUAAAAAUAAGAGUACCUUUAUUAUACAUACCAAGAUUGUUGGCACUGUUGUUCAGGAGAUAGAAGAAUGUAUUGAAUUUUAUAGGGGAAAAUUUGCUCUGAUGUACUUGGGGUGUCCUAUUGGUCAUAGGAUAAAGCGAAAAACUCAUUUUGUAGAGCUUAUCAAAAAGGUACACUGUAAAGUACAACUUGGAAAGGGAAAUUACUAUCCUUUGGAGGUACGGUUGUUUUAAUUAAUAAUAAGUUGAAUAUUAUUGUUAUUUAUUUAUUGUCUGUCAUAAAUCCUCCUAAAUGUAUUAUUUAUGAAUUAAAUAGGAACGUUGCAAUAUUCCUACGGAACUUAAAGGAUGUAGGCAAAAACAAACAUUGGGUUUCUUGGAUAGAUAUUUGCAGGCCUAAGAAGGAAGGAGGUCUAGGUUUUAGAAAUUUGUUUAGCAUCUCUAAAGAUUUAUUUACCAAGUUAUGGGGUAUUUUCAAAACUGAGAAAUAUAUGUGGACCAUAUUCAUGUGGAACAAAUAUUGCAAGAGAUAUGUGUCUCAAGUUGUGGAAUGAAAAGGUGGGUCACAAAUAUGGAAGAAGAUGCUUGAAGCUAGAGACUAUGUGGAUCAAGAAAUAUGGUGGGAGCCCAAGAAUGGUCAUACUAAUAUUUGGCAUGGUAAUUGCACACAGAUUGGGGCUCUCCGUUUUUUCUUGCCUUGUAGAGUCAGAUGUACAUAUAGUGGAGAAUGUGAGACAGUUAUUUGUAGAAGGAAGAUGGAAUUCAAGUUUAUUAGAAUUGUUAUUUACAAGGAGGUAUGUGAUCAUGUUCAGCACAACUUGAUGGUUGAAGAAGGAUUUGAGGAGUGGGAUAGGCUUUGGUGGAUGGCCAACCCUUCUGGUAAGUAUACAGUAAAGUUAGAAAAGUUAUGAUACAAGCAAAAGAGGCUUAAGGGGUUUAAGAAAUUCCUUUUAAAGUAUCUCUUUUCUGUGGAGGUUGUGGAAAAAUAAAAUUCCUAUAGGAGAAAUUCUGGUUAAGAUAAGGGCAUGUGAAAAUAUGUCUUGUAUUUUUUGUGAAGAAAAUAUGCAGGAAACUAUUGAACAAUUAUUUGUUAAGUGCCUUUUGGAUAAUAGAUUGUGGUGCAGAUUUGAAGCAGCAAAAGAAAUUAUCAGCCUUUUUUUGCAGCUCAGAGAUUUGAUGUACAAGUAAUGGAAAGCUGACAGACCACCAAAGCUCCAAUUACUUCUUAAUAUUAUUCCCUUAUUUAUAACAUGACAGAUCUCAAUAAUCAUGGAUGCAAAUGUCCUAUUUAGGGAUGGAGAUUAAGAUAAACUAAAAUUUAUAUCUAUUGGCUAGAUAUAAUUACCCUUGGCUGAGACAUUUACCAUCAUCAUGGCAUGUACUGGUGAAGUUUUUUUUAGGAUUAUACAACUUUAAGAAGUAGGAUGGUGUUGUGGAACUCUCCUUGUGUGGGAUCCCUUAAAUGCAACUCUGAUGGUGCAUUCAAAGGAAACUCACGCCCUAGUUCUGGGGCUUUCUGUAUGAGGAAUGGAGAAGGGAAUUUUGUGUAUUCAGAAGUUAGAAGAUUGUUUGAUGGAUCUAAUCUAGUUGCAGAAGUGGUGGCACUAAGAUUAGGUCUGGAGCAUUGUGUUGAACACAAUUUCCUUCCUGGAGCAUUGUGUUUUAGAUGGGAAUGGUAAAUUCCCUGGAGUAUUGCUAUGGAAGUUAAGAGAAUUAAAAUGUUGAUGUUGGGAAAGAAGGUGGUGGUGGAGCAUACCCUAGGAGAAGGCAACAAGUUGACAGAUUUUUUCACUAAUCGAAUUUUUUGUCCUGCAGAUACAUACAAGCUAACAUAUUCUACACUGUAGGAAGUACCUAAUAAAGCAAAAGGCAUCACACAAACAAAAAGAUAAAAUGCCUAAUUUCAAAAUAACAAAGCCUCAAAAUGGAUAGCACAAAAGUCAAAUGCCAUAUUAAAGAUGAGAGCAACCAAAGACGCAGAAAGCAUCAUCAUAACAGAGCAACAGGUAGCAAGGCAACAAGUAAGUUAUAGAAAAAUUUUGGUACGAUAAUAACUUAUUUUCUCUGAAGUUUAUGUAGUGGUAUUAGUCUUUAAUUAGGCUCGAUCUACUGAACGAUGGGGAAAAUAGAAAAUUAUCAUACACGGAAACUAGAAUUACAAUAAUAACUUGGUUGUAAUCGAGAUAAAUGAAAAAGUUGGUAUACCUGUUCAAAGAUGUCAAUUAGGUAGUCACUCAAGCAUACAAAUUAUGAAAUAAGGAGAAAUUACAUUAGUGCAAAAGAGAAAAUAAAGGAAACAAAAUAUCAAUAAUCAAAUUCGAACUCACCAGAUCUGACGUUAUUGAGUCAAAGAAGUUUUCAUUGAGUGGGUUUUCAUGGCAUUCGUAGAGUGUCUUAUGUGAACAACUCAAACUUAAAAAGUUCAUGUUAGGAUAAAGAGUUGCGAAAAAGAAAAUUUGUUGUCUUAGUUGUCCUCCUUCAGCUACAUUUCAUCAUUAGAAGGUCAUUUAGAAAGGAGAUACAGGGUGUAUGGAUGAAAUCAAGUUCAUAAUGAACCUAAAAUUCUGCUACUCCAAUAUAGGUACUACAUGGAUGAGUUCACAGAUCUAACUCAAAUGGUGGUAUUAAUCCCACUGGGAUUCAACCCAUUGAGCGACAAAUUAGAGAACUCAUUCAGCUGGUAUCGUUAGAUGGAGUAAGGCAAGCAGUCACAAAGAAUGAACUCGAUGUGAGCUGAUAUCAUAGAUGAAGAAUGAAUCGAGAACAUGAAUUUAGUGCAAGGUAAGGCAAAAAAGACAACACUGAUGGAGUACAAGAAUAGACUAGAAGCCUCUUCCACGUUCCUCUUUUGUACAAUAUCAAAUAUUUUUUGUAAUAAGUAGGAUCUUGUUGUUUUGGGUUUCUCAUCCAUUUGAUUGUGGUCCAUUGUAAAUAUAGCAUUUAUUUGAGGAAAAAUUUCUUAAAACUUCAACUUUACUUUCUAUUAUUACAUAAAAUCCUAAAUCACAAAAGUAAUUACAAAUAUCUCUUUUUAUAAUUUCACUCUCCAAAACUACAUUACUUUCUAUUCUUACAUAAAAUCUCAAAUCACAAAAGUAAUUACAAAUAUCUUUCUUUUAACUAUUUAUCUCUCUUAACUUCAUAUACAUAACUCUAUCUCCCUAUUUAUAUAUUUUAUUUUCAUAAAAAGUGCCUACAAUCAAGGAGCCACAUUCAA